AGGAUUUCCCAGCUCCCCACCAAAGAUUUUCCUUUCAGACAGAUGCUUUGUCACACAACCUCCCCUCUACUCUGAACCAAGGAGCCCUCCAUUCUUCCACGCCCCAGCUGUAUCCUGUGCUCUUGAACGUCACUUAAACUUUCCUGGCUCCCUUUGCCCAGCACCUUGUCUGUGAGACUUGUUGUGAUGAGAGAAGGGUCCUGACUCUGCCCUGUCCAUGCUCCUUGGUUAGCAGAGCGAGGACCAUAACCCACCCUCCGUCCUCCAGAGCACACUCACAGAUGCCCCUUUGCAGGCCAUCUACAAGAUGGUGUCCUCCGUGAUGAAGAUGCCUGAGGACAAGUCCAUGCCUGAGAAUCGAACAGACAAGAUCUUCAGGCAGAUGGACACAAACAAUGAAGGCAAAAUGUCCCUGGAUAAAUUCAAC
rnacentral:lncRNA from 1 species